AACGGUGAAGCCCCGCUUGCGGGGUGGAUCAGUGGCGAACGGGUGAGUAACACGUGAGCAACCUGCCCCUGACUCUGGGAUAAGCGCUGGAAACGGCGUCUAAUACUGGAUACGAGACGUGAUCGCAUGGUCAACGUUUGGAAAGAUUUUUUCGGUUGAAGAUGACCUCGCGGCCUAUCAGCUUGUUGGUGAGGUAAUGGCUCACCAAGGCGACGACGGGUAGCCGGCCUGAGAGGGCGACCGGCCACACUGGGACUGAGACACGGCCCAGACUCC
rnacentral:rRNA from 1 species